rnacentral:rRNA from 1 species
UGGGGAAUUUUGGACAAUGGGCGAAAGCCUGAUCCAGCCAUGCCGCGUGAGUGAAGAAGGCCUUCGGGUCGUAAAGCUCUUUUAGUCGGAAAGAAAGAGUUGCAAUGAAUAAUUGUGAUUUAUGACGGUGCCGACAGAAAAAGCACCGGCUAACUACGUGCCAGCAGCCGCGGUAAUACGUAGGGUGCGAGCGUUAAUCGGAAUUACUGGGCGUAAAGGGUGCGCAGGCGGUCUUGCAAGUCAGAUGUGAAAGCCCCGGGCUUAACCUGGGAAUUGCGUUUGAAACUACAAGGCUAGAGUGCAGCAGAGGGGAGUGGAAUUCCAUGUGUAGCAGUGAAAUGCGUAGAGAUGUGGAAGAACACCGAUGGCGAAGGCAGCUCCCUGGGUUGACACUGACGCUCAUGCACGAAAGCGUGGGGAGCAAACA